AUGCAAUGUGGACAGUCUCUCAAGUAACCCUUGUACCUUUCCCAUGCUUGUGGUAGGGAUUCAAAUUCUUUCUAGGUAAAGUUAGCAAUUUUCCAUCUCAGCUU